UACGAAGGGGGCUAGCGUUGCUCGGAAUCACUGGGCGUAAAGGGUGCGUAGGCGGGUCUUUAAGUCAGGGGUGAAAUCCUGGAGCUCAACUCCAGAACUGCCUUUGAUACUGAAGAUCUUGAGUUCGGGAGAGGUGAGUGGAACUGCGAGUGUAGAGGUGAAAUUCGUAGAUAUUCGCAAGAACACCAGUGGCGAAGGCGGCUCACUGGCCCGAUACUGACGCUGAGGUCGA
rnacentral:rRNA from 1 species